rnacentral:rRNA from 1 species
UACAGAGGGGGCGAGCGUUAAUCGGAAUUACUGGGCGUAAAGCGCGCGUAGGCGGCUUUGCAAGUCGGGUGUGAAAUCCCCAGGCUUAACCUGGGAACUGCAUUCGAGACUGCAUUGCUAGAGUAUGGGAGAGAGAAGUGGAAUUUCCGGUGUAGCGGUGAAAUGCGUAGAUAUCGGAGGGAACAUCAGUGGCGAAAGCGACUUCCUGGACCAAUACUGACGCUCAUGUGCGAAAGCGUGGGGAGCAAACAGG